GCAUGUGCUGGACUCUUUGACAAAAAGACUACUGUAGAGAGAUGUUAAGAUUUUAAAAAAAGUGAUAUACUGUUUAUUUCAGUCAGGAGAAACCUUUGGCAGCCCUGCAAGUUAAGAGAAACGUUAAAAAGGAGUGAAACACUACGCCUCACGGAGGAGUUCUUUGCUUGUCCUCAUACUGAUUUUCCCGGAGCUGCAAGGAAGAACCAAGCUUCCUCUGAUUUUCCCUUUGGCCGGUGGUUUAACUUGGUAUCCAAACAGAGCAGUGGGCACAAAGAUCAUACCAAAGUGAUGGAGGCAUCUACUAUGACACCACAAAAUUCCAAAGAGCAACACAAGCUGACAUAAAGGUAGUUUAUAUUUCUGAUCACAUGAGUUCCUUCUGUGUGAUUUGGUGCAUCA